CCAGACUCCUACGGGAGGCAGCAGUAGGGAAUCUUCGGCAAUGGACGGAAGUCUGACCGAGCAACGCCGCGUGAGUGAAGAAGGUUUUCGGAUCGUAAAGCUCUGUUGUAAGAGAAGAACGAGUGUGAGAGUGGAAAGUUCACACUGUGACGGUAUCUUACCAGAAAGGGACGGCUAACUACGUGCCAGCAGCCGCGGUAAUACGUAGGUCCCGAGCGUUGUCCGGAUUUAUUGGGCGUAAAGCGAGCGCAGGCGGUUAGAUAAGUCUGAAGUUAAAGGCUGUGGCUUAACCAUAGUACGCUUUGGAAACUGUUUAACUUGAGUGCAAGAGGGGAGAGUGGAAUUCCAUGUGUAGCGGUGAAAUGCGUAGAUAUAUGGAGGAACACCGGUGGCGAAAGCGGCUCUCUGGCUUGUAACUGACGCUGAGGCUCGAAAGCGUGGGGAGCAAACAGGAUUAGAUACCCUGGUAGUCCACGCCGUAAACGAUGAGUGCUAGGUGUUAGACCCUUUCCGGGGUUUAGU
rnacentral:rRNA from 1 species